rnacentral:lncRNA from 1 species
CGGCACACACUAGGGUCUCCGUCUCUCACACACACACACCACAAUGACGUCGUAAACAAUAGCACUAACCACCAUCGUCCGCAGCUCCCGCGUACAGAGGCCUCAGGCUCCCGGCUCCACGUGGACCGACCUCGCCCGGCAGCGCGGGGCCACCUCACCGCGAGCUCCUCCCGCAGCCCGGCCCGGGUCACCUCGACUCGCCAGGCUUAACUCAAUAACCACAACACCGGAAAAGGAAGCAAAGGUCGAAGUUCAUCCGCGGCCCUGAGGCCUGUGGGAAACGUAGUCCAACAACGAAAGAGCCCUGAAGCUCAAGCGGAGCCCGCUGGCCGCAGGGGCCGCACCACGCCCCAGACCCUGGAGUUUCCGGGUGCGCAGACCCUUGCCAUCAGCAGAGGCUGCCGCUGCGCGUCCCCUAGGCGCGGAAGAGGCGGCUGGUGGUCCCUGACGGCAAGGUGAAGUCGAGGCAGUAAUCGGGAACCCAGGUUUUAUACAUUACGAAUAAAGCUGGCACGUUUCCAUUUCUCCUGGGCAAAUAUUUAGAAGAAAAGUUGCUGGGUAAUUGGUGGAGACAAGGUUUCGCCACAUUGACUGGGCUGGUCUGGAACUCCUGAGCUCAAGCAACCGGCCCUCCUUGACCUCCCAAAGUGCUAGGAUUACAGAAGCACUGAGACCACAGAGGCAAGAGCUGGGGAAGGAAAACUGCCCAUGAGAUGAGAUGUGCCUCUCAGCUUCCAAAAUCGGGGAGAUGCCCCCCAUGGAAUCCAGCCAUCAUGCUGUGAGGAAUCCAAGCAGCUACAUAGAAAGGCCACAACUAGAUAUUCCAGCUGUAGUCAGCUGAAGCUCCAGCCAACAGCCAACAUCAACCACCACACGUGAAAACGAGCAAGCCUUCAGAUGAUUCCGACUCCCAACCUCCAAGCCACCUCAGCUGAAGCCAAGUAGAGCAGAGACUAGCUGUCCCCCAAUGCUCUAAUAUGCAGAUUCAUAAUUAAAAAGAAUGUUAUUGUUCUA